rnacentral:rRNA from 1 species
AGGGGCAGGCAUAACAUUGCUUGCAAUGUUUGAUGGCGACCGGCGCACGGGUGCGUAACGCGUAUCCAACUUCCCGUUACUCAGGGAUAGCCUUCCGAAAGGGAGAUUAAUACCUGAUGGUGUUCAAAUUCCGCAUGUUAUUUGAACUAAAGAUUUAUCGGUAACGGAUGGGGAUGCGUGACAUUAGAUAGUAGGCGGGGUAACGGCCCACCUAGUCUACGAUGUCUAGGGGUUCUGAGAGGAAGGUCCCCCACAUUGGAACUGAGACACGGUCCAAACUCCUACGGGAGGCAGCAGUGAGGAAUAUUGGUCAAUGGACGAGAGUCUGAACCAGCCAAGUAGCGUGAGGGAUGACAGCCCUACGGGUUGUAAACCUCUUUUGUCCGGGAAUAAAACGGGGGACGUGUCCCCCUCGCAUGUACCGGUUGAAUAAGGGCCGGCUAAUUCCGUG